rnacentral:misc_RNA from 1 species
UCGAGUUACCGCUCUACAACCCUUUGUGAACAUACCUAACUGUUGCUUCGGCGGGCAGGGGGUCCCCCCGGGGACGCCCUCCCGGCCCCGCCCCCCUACCAGGGGACGUGGCGCCCGCCGGAGGAUACCCAACUCUAUUUUAACGACGUUUCAUUCUGAGUGGCACAAGCAAAUAAUUA